UGCUCCGAUCGGAUCGGGAGCAGGAAGACAGCGGUGAGCACAUAAAGGGCGCGGGCGGCACACUGCCCGGCCAAGAGGAGGAGCAGGAGGGGAGGCGAUGAGGCGGGGCCGUAAGCGUCGGACGCGCUCGCUCGCCUGCAAUCAAAGCGGACGCAGCGGCCGUCCAUGGCGGCUCGGGUCGAUGCAUGAGGACGAUGGGAGGAGCUCGCGAGGGCCGGCACCGGGAAUGGAGUGGAGGCGGGUGGAUCUGGCGAUUCCGCAGGGGCUGCGGCGACGAGCGGCUCCGUGGGCGGCGACCUGCAGGGUUCAAGCGACGGCUGCCAUGAAGGUUGGGCGGUUGCUCUCUGUAGAGAAGGAAUAGAAGGAGAGGAAGAAGGCAGGUCACUCAAAAAGCAUCCACUUCCUGCCCCCUCUCUCCUCUAGCAUGCCAUGAUGUGCGCGGCUGGACGUGUGAUGUGCGUCCAUGUUCAUGUGAUCUUCAAGACAGUAGGGACCAAUUGCACCCUUGCUUCUGUUUCUGUCCUAUGAACCAAUCUGAGAUGGCCACUAAGAAGCACUUGGCUGGUACAGUGAAAUUUUCUGUAGUCUUCAAAUAAAACAUGCUAAUCUUCUAGGAUGUGCUUUUUCGAGCAGGAAGGGGAGGUGAUGUGCGCAAGGUACGUCGUCGAGGAAGUGAACACCAGUUUCAGCUAUAUAGUGUUUUGUGGUGAAUGAGAAUGUUUCAUAGUUUAUUAUUAAUCUAAAUUUUGGUUUUACGCUUUUGCUUCACACAGAUAUUGUUGAGUAACUUUUUUCCAAACUAUGUACUAUACAUGUGGAUUUUUUUGCGGGGAUACUGUAUGUCCACUUCUGAGUACAAAUUCUAAAUUCGUAUAUGAAACCUGAAUUCAACUCCUACCAUACAAAACUAAUUUUGUGGUUUAGUUGUUUAAGAGCUCAAAUAGGAUGUCUACUGGAACCUCAAGGAAAACGAAAAGAAGUGCAGGAGCAGGAGCUGGAGACGCAGCCGCACAAGGUCGAACCGGCCACAUAGAUCAUUUUCUUCUGCAACUAUGACAACUACAGCAAGACCUUUGUUGAUGUGGCUGCCUUGAGGAAGCAUGCUCAUGUACAUGGCGAGAGGGGAUGUAUGUUUUUUAGUAGCCCGGCUAUUGGAAGUAAUUUCAGGCUUUUUAUAAAGGACCUUUCUCUGUUUGGCAUAGAUUAAUGAUUUUGGUACAUCCAUCCAUCCAAUCCACAUGCCGCUGAUGAACAAAUAGUGAUCCAGUUUGGUCGGAGUAGAUAUAAGUUUGGUCUCUGCUCGAGCUCCUGCUGCUGCUUGGAUUUUCCUUUUCCCCUCUCAUCCAACCGUGGGUACCAUCUGACCCAUUUUCUUUUCGUGGUUGAUUGGUGCUAAUUGAUUUCAUCAUAUGGCCAAUGUUUCUUGGUUAGGGGCCUGUUAUUUUUUUUUGAGCUUGACGAUGCCGUGGUCGCCCAGCCGAUCAAAUCCUUGCGCACACACAACAACUCAACUCCACGGUCUGCACACAACAGCUCAACACCACGGUUUGUACGCCACAGCCGCCGCUUGAGCAGCUCGAUGGGCAAUUUAUGUUAUGUACCUCUAUAUGAUAAUCCCUCCAUAGCUAUCUAGAAAAGGUUUCGAUUUGAAUUUGGUUAAGUUUAGUUUAGCGUGGUGAUGCUUACCCUAAUAAGUUGGUGUGUUGUUAUACUGUAUUGAAUAAAUGGUGGGCACUGAAUUUUCCAUGGAUUCAGCAGAGGAGAAGAAUCUCACCUACUUGCUAGCUUCCCAAAUGCAGUAAGCAAUGAAUACUUUCCAAAUGAAAUAGUGAAGACGCUCAUUUUCAGAGCAGAUGCACUCACAUGUGUCUUGAAUCAUUUAAUUUCUUUGUUUCGUGAAUAAAUGUUGGUUGGUGCUCUUGCUCUUUUACCAUGGUAACUUUGUAAACUUCAGAAUGCCUAAAGUUGGUUGCACACUCACUCGCUCAGCAAUGAGCAGUGAAGUCGCCAGCUUUGCCGUUGGCUGAAGAACAACAAGGUCUUCGUUGCAUGAUUAUUAGUUUGUUAAAUAUUUGUACAACAUCAAAGUACUUUUUAGUUGCAGAUUUGGCAAUACCUAGGACCUUAUGUUCCUCCAGUUCGGGGGCGGUUUAAAAGGCAGCUGUUCGAAACAUGAACGAAAAUGACUGUAGGUGGCAUACGUAUGGUACAGUCGAAGGACGUGAUUGGCUGGUAAGUUUAUGUGAGAAAUAGUUUAAGAAAUUGCAUGGAAGAUGUUUUAAGUUUACAUUGAAAUAAAGGGCGUGGACCUGUGCGUUGGGAUUGGGUGCUUUUUGUUUUCCGGUUGCAAUGCACAGGCACGUUUAUGUAUACUAGUAAUAAUAAAGCACGGGUUGAGUCUGUCGGGUUCACCGUCACUGUGUUUUUACGAAAAGGUCCCUAUUGUUUUGGGUAUUCAACCCGCAGUCCUCGUGAUAAGUCAAUCGAACCACUACACAUGAGAGAAAAGGAAAAAAAAGACACCCUCACGAGUCACGAACCUGCCUCCCGAUCCCAUCUUCAUCUCCAUCUCGCCGCCGCCUCGCCCCUCCCCGCGCCGCUGCCUCCUGCCACGCCUUGCCCCUCCCCGCGCUGCCGCGUCCUGCCACGCCCAGCCCGGCGCCGCCGCGCGCCGCCGCCUCCUACCCCGUCGGCGCGCCUACUCUUACCCCAAGUGCCCCCAUACCCGCGGCCUCCCACCGCCGGCAACAAUCGAUGAUGCGGCUGAUGACGGCUCCCCCUACCUACCACCGCUGGGAUUCCUCCCCGUUGCUUCCACCUCAACAAUGGUUACCACAACCCCGCCGGCUUCGCCACCAGCCACUCCUUCAUCCACACAAAUCAUAGGAGACAGUUGCAUGGGAGAUCCUACGAGCAUGGCCUCGACGGCACUGGCAGUGGAAGUACGCGGGUGAUUGGCGCUUGGAAGGUCGCGGUUGAGGCAUGAGGACGGCAGCAGCGGCAGUCAAAAUCUUCAUGAAGUUUUUCCGCUUACCCUCCCCCGGUCUGAUUUCUCUCCAAUCUUUGAAUCCCCUCGGUUUGAACUAAUGCCAUGUAUUUUCAGAACAAUUAGUGAAUCAAUUGUUAGUUGAAAGAUGGUUGAUGCACCGAAAAAGAUUGUAUUGAUUCAAUCUAGAAAAGUCAAGAUCACAAUUGCAAUUAAAUAUACAUUUGUUGAGCCAAAAGUAGCAGUUACAUAUGCAUUUGGUCAAUCUUUUGGCCUCUCUCUUCAUGCAUUAUGAUUGCCAUCUUGAGAAAAAAAAUGGAAAAACAUGUAAAGCUGUAUGAGUUUUUUAUGUUUGCAAUUUUUAGUUUUGGGGGGAAUUAAUGGAUCCACUCGGCUUGCCCUUGAAUCCAACUGUUUUUAGUUUUUAGUGUCCAGGAAAAAUUCUUGAGAUGAUGGAAACGAAUUUCCCUCUCAAGAAAAGGUGGAAUACGAAUGGGAUGGAAAGCUAGAGCUGGAGCAGGUAGAGCAUGGUGGAGGGUCUGCUUCUACCUCUCUAGCCUCUCGACUGGAUCAUAUAUGUUUUGCGGCUUCGCGGCUCCAUUAAUGGCAGUAGGGCGCUUGUGUCAUCCAUGUCUGAUUCGUGCAACCAUCAUCUGUAGCAUUUGCUGGAGCCAUCAUCCCAAACAGUUUCACUGAUUCUCAGAAAACAUAAACAUGUACAUGCUACUCAUUGCGAGAGGAUAUAAGGAUUUCUGCUAUUAUAAUGAUAGAAUGACAGCAGCACCUCAAGCAUGUAACUGUGGAAGUUAGUCUUUGUUACCUAACUUGAAUGUUAUUGUAACCAUAAAUAUGUCCUAAGAAUUCGGGUAAGAAUGAUGCAUGUAAUUGUUGAAUGUCUACAGACGUAGCUCUCUUAAUCCUGCAAAAGUUAGUCAUAAAGGUGAGUAAGAUUAUUGUAAUUUCACUUUUCUCUAAAGAUGCUUAUCCUAUUUACUAUAUGUUUCUUUGACCUAUCAACGGAAGUGUAUGAAUUCAUUAAGUUCUCUUCGCAAGGUGUUUUCUUGCGAUACGUCACAAGCUGGUAGCUUGUAAGAGAAUGAUCAGUUCAGUAACUUUUAGUUACGAUGCCUGCAACAUUGGGAUUUAUAUACAAUGUUCUUUAUCCUUCCAUACUUAUAUGGUUCACGCAGAUUAUGGACACCCAAUACUAUUCACAAAUAACGCUCUAAUAUUGUCGUUCAACAUUUCCCAUGGAAAACAGGAGGAUUUCAAUUUGCUAGGGCUCAUAGAAUGUCACAAGAAAGAUGAUUUUUGGAUUAAACUUGAUAUCGAUCAGACUGGUUUAUAUAAAGUGAUGAUGAGGAACUUGCAUCACGACUUAGGCAUGCAGUUGAAACCAACACACUUGAGUGCAAUAGACAGAUAUGGUGUACUUGAUGACACAUAUGCCCUCUGUAUGGCUGGUAAAUAGAAGGUGGUCAUGUUGCUGCAUUUGAUUGUUCCGUACAAGACUGAGACUGAGUAUUCUGUGCUUGCCACAUGCCAUCAACAUACUACUCUUCCCAUUCUAAUUAAUUUUUUAUGUUCCUAAACUUGAUUUUGUUCUUGCCUUUAUAGACAAGCCUGAGCAUAUUUGAG